GCAGUCGCCGCGGUAAUACGAAGGGUGCAAGCGUUAAUCGGAAUUACUGGGCGUAAAGCGUGCGUAGGCGGUGAGUUAAGUCUGCUGUGAAAUCCCCGGGCUCAACCUGGGAAUGGCAGUGGAUACUGGCUCGCUAGAGUGUGUCAGAGGAUGGUGGAAUUCCCGGUGUAGCGGUGAAAUGCGUAGAGAUCGGGAGGAACAUCAGUGGCGAAGGCGGCCAUCUGGGACAACACUGACGCUGAGGCACGAAAGCGUGGGGAGCAAACAGGAUUAGAUACCCCCGUAGUCCCUGUCUCUUAUAC
rnacentral:rRNA from 1 species